CUAAGCAAUGUUCUAUUAUGUUUCGUAGAGUGAAGAUCUGGUCUGUGAAUCCACGUCCUUUCCGAAAACCAGCUUGUUCUUUUCUGAGAACACUAUCAACUGCCUCAGAUACGCUGGACUAUGAUCUUACACAGCCCAGAGUGGCACAUAUGGACAGGAAGAGCACCACGUGAUCCUGCACCUGCGACCGGGAGCUGCCCUUGACCAGCCAGUUGUCCAGAUAGGGGAAGAUCUGGACCCUCCGAUGCCUGAGAACCUUGCCAUCAAACAGAAGCUCCCGCAAGAAGUCUGCUCCUCACUGGAUAGCCCAGACAGAUGGAGCCACGAUGCCCUUCUCAUGGACACUGCGAAGGCUAUGGACCGCACGGCCAUGUCCCCCGCAUCUGAUGCUGUCUGCAGAGUUGCCUUGGCAGCCCCUGCACCCUCCUCAACCAGAGCUUUGAACUCCUUCCUGUGACACUCCUGGAGGGGAGUCUUCGAACUUGGGCCCCAUAGAUUGAACUCAUACCGGCCCUGGAGAGCCUGAUGGCUCACCACCCAUAACUGGAAGCUCAAGGAUGAAUAAUUUUUUCUCCCAAAGGAAUCCAGCCUCGAGUCUUUAUUUUUCAGAGUAGGGGCUGGUUGGCCCUGCCGCUCCCUGUGGUUGACUGACUUGACUUGACUUGUACAGGUAUUCAUGUCUCUUGGCCGGCACAAAAGACUUGUGUUCUGCUCUCUUAGAGAUGGGGGGCAAUGAGGCUGGGGUUUGCCACAGGCAUUUGAAAUUUUUGCAGCUGCUUUGUGGAGUGGAAAGGCCACCCUGCUCGGUGCCGAGGCGGACAGGACAUUAAAGAGGGAGUCCGAGGGCUCCUCCACCUCCUCUGCCUGAAGGUUGAGAUUUGAUGCCACCCCUUUCAUGCAUCCGACGAAGUGGGUAUUCACCCACGAAAGCUCAUGCUCCAACACAUCUGUUAGUCUAUAAGGUGCCACAGGACUCUUUGCUGCUUUUACAGAUCCAGACUAACACGGCUACCCCUCUGAUACUUGACAGCCUUUUCAGUAGUUCCUGGUGGGCUUUAGAGUCCUCUUGCAGGACAGAGGGGGCCAUAAUCGCCUCAUCACGGGAGAGCGAGGAGGCGGGAGCAGUACUUCGUGUGUUCACUGGCACCGGAGGAUCCACCACAUAGUUGCUCUCUCGGCAUGACGCCAAAGAGGUUCGUCCCACCGACUCCUUCCUCAGAGGCUGGGAGAGGGAGGCCAACAGCCGUUCCAAGGCUCUGGCCACCGACUGAGCCCCCAUUGAGGGCUGUGUCAGGGCCAUGAUACCCACUGGUACCAUUGUGCCGGCCACAAGGCCCGGUGCCACUGCACCUCCUGUGGCACCGAAGAAGCAGGCUGUUCGGCAUGGCUGGCCCGUCCCAUUGAUGGACAACUAUGAAGGGAGGCCAGGCUGACCUGCGACCUGCCGCUGUCCCUGGACCAGGAGGAGUGGCAGUGCUAGGAGUGGUGCCAACCACAAGACCGUGAUCCUGACAUGGAGGAACGGUACUGCUGGUAGCAGCUGCUACGCGAUCAGCUCCGUCGGGCAGAUCCGCAAUGGCAAGGGGCUGGCGAUCAAUGCCCAGGGUAGCGGGAGCGGUGCCAUGGUGGGAUCCUGGAGCAAGGCAACGAAUGCAAACAGCAUCAAUAUUCGUGUUGCAACUGGCUACAAUAGACCCUCGGAGACGAGGACCUUCGGCAUCAUCUGCCUCGGUCCCGUUGGUGUCCACUCCUCGAGGCGGAGCAGUGCCUGGAGUCUCUUGUCAGUCGGAACCCAGCCAGACAACUUGGUGGGGGUUAACAGUGACCUGUGUGGACUAUGCAUGGGAAGGUUGCUGAGUGGCAAAUGGCAUCGGGAACAUUCCUUCAACCGUGACUGGUACCAAGCUGGGGGCAACUGCGGAGAUCCCAGAGGCAGCUUGCCUCUGGACUGCAGGGCCAACAUUGGCGGUGCUCCUGGUACUGACAUGGACAUAAUGUCCCGGGCUGCUUGCAGAGCCUCUGGUGUGGAAGGCAUCCGGACAUCGGGGGAAGCCUGCUCCAAAUGGGCAGGGCUACUCUGCUUGACUUGAGUCAGAGGCCUAGAGGCCGAUGGGGACUGAGGACUACCCAACAUAGGUCUAGCCUCUCCCCUCCCCCCGUCUUGCUAAGGUGCCGUGGUGAAGGCCUCUUCUUAGCUUUCUUGGUGUGCCCAGUGGACAGGGAGUGGUGCUGACUGGUAAAUGGUGCUGGGCGGUGUCCCUGUGCACCGACAGUGUGGUACCCAGUGCCGACUCGGAGUGGUGUGCUGGAAACGGGGUCAAUGCCAAGUUCAUCAGGAUGGCCCGGAGCCGAAUGUCUCUCUCUCUCUUGGUCCGAGGCUUGAACGACUUGCAAAUCUUACAGUGAUCGUUGAGAUGGGUUUCACCCAAACUGUGUAAACAGUCACUCACUGGCACUGGUCACCUACAAGUGUCACACGACUUAAA